AGUGAACGCUGGCGGUAGGCCUAACACAUGCGAGUCGAACGGCAGCACAGUAAGAGCUUGCUCUUACGGGUGGCGAGUGGCGGACGGGUGAGGAAUACAUCGGAAUCUACUUUUUCGUGGGGGAUAACGUAGGGAAACUUACGCUAAUACCGCAUACAACCUACGGGUGAAAGCAGGGGAUCUUCGGAUCUUGCGCGAUUGAAUGAGCCGAUGUCGGAUUAGCUAGUUGGCGGGGUAAAGGCCCACCAAGGCGACGAUCCGUAGCUGGUCUGAGAGGAUGAUCAGCCACACUGGAACUGAGACACGGUCCAGACUCCUACGGGAGGCAGCAGUGGGGAAUAUUGGACAAUGGGCGCAAGCCUGAUCCAGCCAUACCGCGUGGGUGAAGAAGGCCUUCGGGUUGUAAAGCCCUUUUGUUGGGAAAGAAAAGCAGCAGGUUAAUACCCCGCUGUUCUGACGGUACCCAAAGAAUAAGCACCGGCUAACUUCGUG
rnacentral:rRNA from 1 species